rnacentral:rRNA from 1 species
AGAGUUUGAUCCUGGCUCAGAACGAACGCUGGCGGCAGGCUUAACACAUGCAAGUCGAGCGCCCAGCAAUGGGAGCGGCGGACGGGUGAGUAGCACGUGGGAACAUGCCCUUCGGUACGGGACAACUCAGGGAAACUUGAGCUAAUACCGCAUACGCCCUAACGGGGAAAGAUUUAUCGCCGAAGGAUUGGCCCGCGUCUGAUUAGCUAGUUGGUGAGGUAACGGCUCACCAAGGCUUCGAUCAGUAGCUGGUUUGAGAGAGCGACCAGCCACACUGGGACUGAGACACGGCCCAGACUCCUACGGGAGGCAGCAGUGGGGAAUCUUGGACAAUGGGGGAAACCCUGAUCCAGCCAUGCCGC